rnacentral:rRNA from 1 species
GAUGAACGCUAGCUACAGGCUUAACACAUGCAAGUCGCGGGGCAGCAUGGGGGUUGCUUGCAAUCCCCGAUGGCGACCGGCGCACGGGUGAGUAACGCGUAUCCAACCUGCCCUUCACCACGGGCUAACCCGGCGAAAGUCGGACUAAUACCGUAUGUUGUCCAUUGACGGCAUCCGAUUUGGACGCAAGUUUUGGCGGUGCUGUAUGGGGAUGCGUCCGAUUAGCUGGACGGCGGGGUGUCGGCCCUCCGUGGCGACGCUCGGUAUGGGUGCUGAGAGGGAGGUCCCCCACACUGGAACUGAGACACAGUCCAGACUGCUACGGGAGGCAGCAGUGAGGAAUAUUGGUCGAUGGGCGUAAGCCUGAACCAGCCAAGUGGCGUGCAGGAGGACGGCCCUAUGGGUUGUAAACUGCUUUUAUGCGGGGAUAAAGUGGCCCACGUGUGGGUUUUUGCAGGUACCGCAUGAAUAAGGACCGGCUAAUUCCGUG